GCAUUUCUUCGUCUUCUACUGAGAAUCUGGUCUUCAAAUUAUGGAUACUCGGAGCUUAGCUGUAUCGAUGAACACCAAUUUCGCCUCCUUUGAUCUCUCUCGGCAUUUAUCUCCUCUCCGAUCGGCUAAACUAUCUCCCCGCUCCAUUCCCAGGGCCUCAGCGUCUAUCUCCACGACGAACAGUGAUUCUUCUCCCUCCGGAAAUGCGAUUAACUCCGAAGCUAUCUCUGUGAAACCAGUUUACGUCCCCACACCACCUAACCGCGAGCUCAGGACUCCUCACAGUGGGUAAAUCAAAUAAAUCCCUUUUUUUUAGUUUCAAAGUUUCAAUUUUUGUUUCCGGUUUAGCUUUUUUCCGGUUUAAUUGGACUUUUGGUUUAUUUUUUCUUAUUCAUUGUUACUCUUUCAAGUUGAUUUUUUAUGUUAUUAUUCAUUCAUUGAGCCUCUUCUGUUACCACUCUAAGACUGGUUGUGAAGUGAAAGUGAACUCUCAUAACUUUCAAUAUAGAGAGUGAAAUUGUCUGACAAGUUGCUGGAACAGGUACCAUUUCGAUGGAACAGCGAGGAAGUUCUUCGAGGGAUGGUACUUCAGGGUUUCGAUCCCUGAGAAGAGGGAGAGUUUUUGCUUUAUGUACUCUGUGGAGAAUCCUGCGUUUCGGAAGAGGCUCUCACCGUUGGAGGUUGGUCUGUAUGGACCAAGGUUCACUGGUGUGGGAGCUCAGAUUCUUGGAGCUAAUGAUAAGUAUUUAUGCCAAUACACUGAGGACUCUCACAACUUCUGGGGAGGUAGUGUAACCUUUCUUGAUCAUUAUUACCAACUCAAUAUCUGAGUCCUGUUUCUACUUCUAGUUCUUAUCUCAAUAUUAUAAGUCUUAGGUGCUAUUUUUCUUUACUUAAUAAAUUAAACUUUGAAGUAUUCCUUACCUGAAUAUUUUACUCAUGAGUAGAUAGGCAUGAACUAGUUUUGGGGAAUACUUUCAGUGCCAUGCCAGGCGCAAGGUCCCCAGACAAGGAGGUUCCACCAGAGGUAAAAAUAAAUAAUCACUCCCUCUUCCAUCAUUUGUUUACUCUGUUAUAUGUAAAAUAUAUUUCUGAUUAUAUCCGGGAUGUCACUAGUUACUUAGUGAUUUGAAUGGAUCUUCUUUUAUUGUUUUCUUGAAUGUUGAUCUGUAAAACAUGGGGGUUUUGGUUGUAGGAAUUCAACAGAAGAGUGUCUGAAGGGUUCCAAGCUACCCCAUUUUGGCAUCAAGGUCACAUUUGCGAUGAUGGCAGGUUAUUUAUCUAAUUCUAUGCACACCUAGGAUUCAGUAUGUAUGACAAUACUACUUGAAGUCUAAUACAAUAGUAGAAUUGCUUUUUGAAUAGACAUCUUGUUUAGUAUUGAGAAACCCGGCAAUGGAACUGUUACUUUGGUAUCUUAGGCAUCAUUCUUAGAUCACGCCACUCACCUACAAUGCUUGCUUCAAUUGGUCAUGAUUCCUGCUCUUUGGUGAUGAUUUCUUUUGUAACCUCAAUUCAACCAGAAGUUAGUUCAUGGCAAUAAAGGAUGCAUUGUAGUAUAUCUCAGAUGUUGGGAUUAGUUUGGCAUAAUAUGUGUAGUAGAACUCUUUAUCUUUUUCUUUGUGGAGUUUAUGUGUUUAACUUUGAAUUGAGUUGUGUUUGGCAGGACUGACUAUGCGGAAACUGUGAAAUCCGCUCGGUGGGAGUACAGCACCCGUCCUGUUUACGGCUGGGGUGAUGUUGGGACCAAACAGAAGUCUACUGCAGGCUGGCCUGCGGCUUUUCCUGUAUUUGAGCCUCACUGGCAGAUAUGCAUGGCAGGAGGCCUUUCAACAGGUGGUGAACUUUUUCUUAAUCGACUAAAUUCAGUAACGGCUCUGCUGAUUGAUAAAAGCUUUGUUGUUGAAUUCGUCUCUUCUCUUCUCUUCUCUUCUCCUCGUUUGAGGUUUUUGUUGGGGGGUUCAAAGGCGAAGAAGAUGGUGAACGCUAUGGUGGAGAGAGCGACGAGCGAGAUGCUGAUCGGACCUGAUUGGGCUAUGAACCUCGAGAUCUGUGACAUGCUCAAUAGUGAUCCUGCGUAUGCUUGCUUGCUUGCCUCUCUCUCUAUGCUCCUUCGAAUAUUGAUUUGCUUUUUUGCUUCUUUUUGUAUUGAAACUGUUUAUCAUCGAUUUGAAUCUGUGAUUGUUUUGUUGGUUCAGUAAAGAUGAAAAUCGAAUUUCAUAGUUCUGGAGAAGCAGAUAAGCAUAGCUUCCAUGUUUCUUUUGAGCAAUUUGAAUACUUUUGACUUACUGUCUACCUGAGUUUGGCUAUGGUUUAAUAAAAAAACAUAUGAUCUCAUUAGCCGUUAGUGUGCAUGUUUGAACUCUAUUAAAGUUGACAUGGUUAUUGUUUGUUCUGUAUAGUUAACAGUUGAGGACCAAGUCUCUCUUGGUCUAUGUAUGGCUGAUUUUGCAGUCCCUCAUGGAACCUAAUAAUUCAUUAUUUAUAGAGUCUUAUUGUAAAAGCUAGGAACUUUUUUUUUUCUUUACAUGCUUUUUGAUUGCAAGAAGCAUAUUUCACGGUUACAUAAUUGAUUUUUACGAACCUUACAGAUCCUACAUAAUGUUCUGAAAUUAUUGGUUGAUGUUUUUGAAGGCAAGCGAAAGAUGUUGUGAAAGGCGUCAAGAAACGGAUUGGUAGCAGGAAUCCUAAAACUCAACUUCUUGCUUUGACUGUGAGUUCCAAGAUUAUUGUCUCCUUUUUUACUUUACUUAAUGGCAGUUUUAUGAUAGUAUUCACUCAACAUGCAUUGUUAUGGUGAAAGCUUCUUGAGACGAUAGUGAAGAACUGUGGUGACAUGGUUCAUAUGCAUGUGGCUGAAAAGGGUGUUAUUCAUGAGAUGGUCCGGAUUGUUAAGAAAAAGGUAAAGGUUCUUCAAAAUGGAUUUAAAUCUGUCUCUCUCUCUUUCUCUAAUUCAUUCAAGGUAUCUAUUGAUGCAUGUAGCCGGACUUCCAUGUCAAAGAGAAAAUCCUGGUCCUCAUUGAUACAUGGCAAGAGGCCUUUGGCGGCCCUAGGGCGAGAUAUCCACAAUACUACGCAGGCUACCAGGAGUUGUUGGUAUGUCUAGUGAAAUUGUUCGAUGUAUUUCCUUUAAUAAAGUGUUGCUUCUGAUUCUGGAUGUCCGUAUGUCUUAUAGAACUAUAUUUAGAUCCUUUUGUGAGUUCUGGUAGAAAUUCGUCUACUACUCUUUCCUGAUCACCAGUUUUAACUUCUGUCUCUUUCAGCGUGCUGGGGCUGUGUUCCCUCAGAGAUCAGAGAGAUCAGCACCUGUGUUCACACCUCCACAAACACAGCCUUUGACGUCUUACCCUCCAAAUCUUCGUAAUACUGGACCUGGUAAUGAUAUGCCUGAAGCUUCGGUAGAGCCAGACUUUCCGACACUGAGGUAAAUAUCUUCGGUUGGAACUCUGCUAUUUUAAGUUGUCGAAAUUUUUAACUUAUCCAUGGAAGAUUUUGUUAGGCCAGUUCCAACGUCCUGGAGUUAUUUGACUAAAAAUAUACGUGAAGCUAUUUUUUGUACUAAUGAAACUUAUUAGAAAAAAGCAAGCGUAGUUGUAAGCCUAGGUAUAGGGUAAACCGAAGUUGAGACGUGAUUAGAAGCAAGAAAAUAUUCACAAGUUCACAACUAAGUUAUCUAUAGUUUUUUUUAACACAUUUGUAGUAAUAGAGUUUCAGAUUUUCUUGUAGGGCUUAUUAGCAAUGUAUGCUAGGGUCUGCAAGUGUUAGCUUUGAGCCUGUUUACUUCUUUAUUUAUGACGUAAUCGCAUGUAUCUGUUGCUUCUUAAUAUUUAUUCUAUUGUAUAUCAAAAUUCUUUUCAGUUUGUCGGAGAUUCAAAAUGCAAAAGGUCUCAUGGAUGUGCUUGCGGAAAUGCUGAGUGCAUUAGAGCCGGGGAACAAGGAGGUAACACGAUUUAGCUGCAGACAGAGAUAAUAUACCAGAAUAAGAAGAAUAUUUUUGGGAUUGUUAUUGGACAUUGCGAUUGUGGAAUUAGAUUAUUUUUGCUUUCGACAUAGUUAUCUCAGGAUAAUCAUCCUUUUUUUUUGUUUUGGAUUUCUUCAGGACCUUAAACAGGAGGUGAUGGUCGAUCUAGUGGAGCAGUGUCGUACAUACAAACAAAGAGUGGUACAUUUAGUCAACUCAACUUCGUAAGAGCUCUUUCUUCUACUCUCUAGUUACAUAUACUUUUCUUUUUCAUGUUGCAUACUAGUUAAAUUACUUUGAGUGCGAUGAGAUCUCUCAUUAUAUUAUUUUCUUAUAUGCAUUUGUAUUAUGAUAGUGUUUGUGAAUAAAACAACCAUCGUUGAGUCUUCAGUUUAAUAUUUCUGGCCGUGAGUUAUAGCUGGUUAGGUUCUGUGUUUAUAUCGAAAAGCAUAGAGAGACUGGGGAAGCAUUCAUGUUUAUUUGGGUUUAGGUUUACGUAAGAAAGAAGGGAGAGAACUUUCUCAAGAAUAUCUGAAAUCCACACUUCCUAAGUUAUUGCUGUAUUAUGUUUACUUCACCUUUCAUAUGUAUCACGUGGAAUAGUCCAGUUGAUGAGAAUUGCAUUUAUGCUUUAGAGCUUAGCUUUCUUUGUAAACUUCUUCACCUCACAACUUUGUUAUCCAGGGACGAGUCUUUGUUAAGUCAAGGUCUGGCGUUGAAUGAUGACUUGCAGCGGGUCUUAACAAGUUACGAAGCACUCGCUUCUGGAAUUCCUGGAACUUCUGUUCAAGUCGAGAAGCCCAAGUCUGAGACUGGAAAGUCUCUUGUAGAUGUUGAUGCCCCACUUAUUGAUACUGGGGACAGCAGUAAUCAAACCAACGGGUACGUAAGACCACACUUGGCCGUGGGUAAAACAAUUUGUCUUAGUAAAUAGCUUCUGAUUUGUACGAUGUCCAAUAUUUUUGCAGAGCUACACCAAGCACUAGUAACGGGAUUCUAAAUCAGUUGGCCCUGCCUGCACCACCUGUAACUAAUGGUUUAGCGAAUUCGAAAAUAGACCUCCUCAGUGGCGAUGAUCUUGCUCUUGUUCCUGUUGGACCUCCUCAGCCAGCGAGCCCGGUCGCAUCAAAUCAAAAUGCACUUGCCCUUAUUGAUAUGUUCGGAGAGAAUACCAAUAGUCCGAGCCCUGCAACUGCACCAACUGGCAAUUCAGCUCUCCCGAGUAGCCCUAUGAAUCCUCAACCAACUAGUCAAGCUGGAGAAGCUGGAUUACAACAAUCCAAUGGAUUUUCUCCUCAAGUGGGUUAUUCACAGUUUGAGCAGCCAUCGUACGGGCAAGGGGUCUCUUCUCCCUGGAAUAGUCAGCCUGCACAGCAGUUGCAACAACCACAACAGCCAUCUUAUGGUAAUAUCUGUCUUUAUAUCAUAACCUUCAACUUAUUUCACUCUUUUAGAUUCGAGAGAAUUAGCUUAAGUGUAAAUCAUUAUUUGUUCUGUUUGUAAUGCAUAGAAGGUGCCCAAGACAAUAUGGCAUUUCCACCUCCCCCAUGGGAAGCUCAGCAUCAAGACUUCAGUCCCACUGCAGAGUCAGGAAGUCCAUUUGCUCCUCAAAUGCAUCCAACACAAAUUGGCUUCUCACAUGCUCAACAAUAUCCUCAAAUGCCCCAAAACAACAACAGUCCAUAUCCUCAAAUGCCUCAACCCGGUAUGUACAUGCAACAGCCAAUGCCAAACCAAGCCAAUCAGCCUCUAGGACAAGGCUAUCCACCCCAACAACAACAGCAGCAGCAGAUGAUGAUGGCUCAGUUCUAUGCCCAACAGCAACAACUACAACAACAGCAACAGGCGUAUGGAAACCAGAUGGGAGGUUAUGGAUACGGUUAUAACCAACAUCAACAAGGAAGCAGCCCAUAUCUGGACCAGCAAAUGCAUGGCAUGUCCAUCAGAGAUCAGGCGUCACAUCAGGUACCAGCAUCAUCGUCUUAUCUGCCUCCAAUGAAACCUAAGAACAAACCAGAGGAUAAGCUAUUUGGGGAUCUAGUUGACAUCUCCAAAUUCAAGCCUGGUACAAAACCGACCUCCGGAAGAGCUGGUACCAUGUGAAAAAUCUCUACUCAUGAUUUAUGAGUAUUCGUCUCUCUGUUUCUUUACUCAGCUAACUCUCUUUCCUUCGUUUUUCAAGAUUUGAUCAAUUGAUUAGACCCACUUGUGAGAUGCAUACAUACAUAUAUGUUAUCGUGUUCCUUGCUUAUAAAUUUGCUGGUGAUUAUGACUGGGAAUGAAUUUGUAUAUUUGUUGUAGAGAACUGUUUGUCCGGAGAUUCUAUUUUCUAGGACAUUGUUAAUCCAUUUGUUUUUUCUCAGACAUUAUUUGUUUGAUUGUUUCCAACUUUCCAUUGGCAAUAAAGCUCAACAUGAAUUUGAGAGUUUCAUAUAUUAUAUGAAUUAUGUGUUGUUUAUGUAAUUUUUACUAUUUGAAUGUACGGUAAAAGUUUAUAAAUUAAUAAUGUUAAGACUAUGAUAUUUUAUUAAUUUAUAAGUUAUUAAUUUACCAAAAACAAAUCUGGAUUUUUAUAUUAGAAUAUAUUUUUAUAAAAUAAACAAAUAAUUAAUUUUACCGUAUAUAUAUUAAUUAAAAAAAAAUUUGAAAAAUAUAUUCGACAUUUAUGUUUUUUUUUAAUUGUAAUAUUUGGUGUAUAUAAAAUAAGUUUUAUAAAAUUUAGAUAUAAUUUUACUAAAUAUAAGCAAAAUAUAAUGAAAUGUUAAAAAAAUAUAAAGAUAAUUACGUUGUGAAAUAAAGUAAAUAAUAUAAUUGUGUGUACUUAUAUGAAAUGUAUAUAUAUAUACUUGAUUUUCUUUAACUACAUAAAAUUGAAAAAGGAAUAUAUAUAUAUAUACUUGAUUUUUAAUUUUAAAUAAUGAAAAAUAAUGAAUAUACUAUUUUAAAGAAAAAAGGUUUCUAAAUAAAGUUAUCUCAAAUAAUAUUUUAAAUACUAAAAGAAAACAACAAACAAUAUUUAUUAUGUAUCUGUUUUGAUCAAAAGAUUAAAAGAGGAAACAAAAUAAUUUAAAUAAUGUAAAUCAACCCUUUGCAUUAUAUAUUGAUCAUUUAAUCUUCUUCUUCGGUUAUAAACUUUUAAUAUUACAACUAACUUCAAACUAAAUAACUAAUUUAAUAAUUAAUAAAUUAUGUUUGUCAAUAGAUCAAAACUAAUAUUUUUUAGACUAAUAGAUUAAUAUUAUUAAAAAUUAAGUGAGAGUGAAACAUAAAAAGCUGACUUAUCAAAUAAUAUUACAAAAAAAUUCAUACGGUACAAGAUAAAUUACAGAAAUUACGUAAAUAUAUUUAAAAAUCUAAAAUAUAAAUGAACUAAAUACAAUUAACAACAUGUAAUAUUAUUAUAUCUAUUUAAAAUACAAAAUAGUCGUCGUAGAAAUGCAACUCAAUAUACACCAAAAAUAAAACAAGUCAAUCAGAUUCUUAAACAUAAAAAUAGCAUAUAUAACUAAAAUAAAAAUAUAUCAAUUUAAACAUUUACUGUAUGGUAUAUCAAAUUUCGUCAAGCCCAUUGGGCCAUAAGAGUUUGGUAGCCAUGUGAUUUGUUAGCUUCUAUGGCGUUUGUCUGCCACAUAAUAAGAACUUAUUACAACGUGUCCUCUGCCUGUCUGCAUGAUCUUCUUCUUCAUUACAUGUUUGUCACCAAACCAAAUUAAAUUUCCGUUUCAUUUGGCAUUUCUUCGUCUUCUACUGAGAAUCUGGUCUUCAAAUUAUGGAUACUCGGAGCUUAGCUGUAUCGAUGAACACCAAUUUCGCCUCCUUUGAUCUCUCUCGGCAUUUAUCUCCUCUCCGAUCGGCUAAACUAUCUCCCCGCUCCAUUCCCAGGGCCUCAGCGUCUAUCUCCACGACGAACAGUGAUUCUUCUCCCUCCGGAAAUGCGAUUAACUCCGAAGCUAUCUCUGUGAAACCAGUUUACGUCCCCACACCACCUAACCGCGAGCUCAGGACUCCUCACAGUGG
rnacentral:lncRNA from 1 species